rnacentral:lncRNA from 1 species
UCGAAGAUGGGCAAGCCUUCGUCCCUAUUGCUAGUCCGGACCUUCGCGCCCUACGACUAAGUAUGCAAAGGGAAUGACAAAGAGAAAGAGGCAGAAGUUCUCUCAAAAACUAAGUACUAUACUACUUAGAAAUGAGAAUUACAACCCACACAUACACACACUCUCUCUUGUGUGUUUUGGCCUUAACCAAACCCCACUACUUAUAGGCUCCUAGAUACAAUGAACCUAGACACACACUAACUCUCUCAUUAUGAGACACAUUAACUCACCCACUAGCCACAUAG